GGAGUAUGGGCCGUGUCUCAAUCCCAUUGUGGCCGUUUACCCUCUCAGGUCGGCUACACAUCCUCGCCUUGGUGGGCUGUUAUCUCACCAACUAGCUAAUGUGCCGCAGGUCCAUCUAAGAGUGGUGCAAACGCACCUUUCAAGCGGAGAUGAUGCCAUCCCCGUUGUUAUCCGGUAUUAGCCGAAGUUUCCCUCGGGUAUCCCAGUCUCAAAGGCAGGUUACCUACGUGUUACUCACCCGUUCGCCGCUAGGUAGCAAGCUACCUCGCUCGACUUGCAUGUAUUAGGCACGCCGCCAGCGUUCAUC
rnacentral:rRNA from 1 species